UGUACUGAUUAAAAAAAUGAUAAAUCACAAGAAAUAACAGGUUAGAUUCAAUAACCAGAAUGGUUUUAUAAGGAACAUUGCCAUUGAUCAAUGAGACUCAAAUGGUGACAGGGGGAAGCCUAACUCAUUAAUUACAGUGGUAGGUAGAUGUGCAAUAAGUACUCAUUGCUCAGGAGUUCAAAUAUUUUAUGGAGGCAUAGGAUAGAUACAAAAAUCUCUGCCCUCUCAAAUGCCCUUGCCUUUUGUAUUUGCUUACUAGUCCAUUACUCACCUGGAAGACGCACAUGAAAUCACAGUUCUCUACACAUACAUGUAACACAAAGAGCUUAUGCUGGAAGCAGUAAAAGCCAGAACACAAAACUGAUUACAGAACAGACAAUGUAAUUCAGUCUUUUCUUGUAUACCAUUUCUAAUCAAAGAACCAGAAACCAGUUUGCUACAUUUUGCAGACCAAAAGCAAUCUGUCAUGUUUCUAAUUUGUUGGGUUGGUGAGAUUGUGUGCAAGGCCCCAAACCUGAACUCUGAAGCACUUGUCUCUUGUUUCCUCAGAAACUGGAAAUUCUGCAGCAACUUAAAGCUGAGGCACCAUAGGUCAGAAAGGUGACCUUUGCAGCAUCUCAUUCUGCUCUCUAUGGUCCAGCAGGAGAUGGCAGAGAGAGGUUUGGAGCUGAAAGGCACCCUUGAAGGUGUGAGAGAACUUCAGAAGCAUCUCUCAGAAGAGCACCCAGCUGCACGUGGGAUUGGAAAGCAUCACUGUCUUCCGUGGAGAUGCCAAAGCUGGAACUAGAUUUCAUGAGACCCAUUACAAAGGACAAUGAAAAAUCUAGAGGUCAGUGAAGAAGCCAGACUUGCAAAAUCUAAAACAGUAUCAAACUGCGAGGUACUGUCUGUUGCCAAGAUAUGACAGCUCCUCUGAAGAAUCAAAGGCACACCUCUCUGGAGCAGUGCUCAGUGAUUCAGCUGAACAAAUGGAGUACAGAUUUACCCUCCAAAUCAGCAUUUUCCUUACAAAGGUGAAGAUCAGGAGCUCUUCACAAAUACAUACUAUCCAUAAGACCUUAUCUUCUGUGGAGAGCUUAAUUAAGGACUCCUUCCUUCUCAGGAGGUAAGGUAAGUGUGCGGGUAAGUGCCGGGAAGACUGGGAAGAUCCUCCUGCCAUACAGACAGACUGCUGUGCAUGAAUGGUAUGUGCCCCCAGUGGCGGGGUGCGCGGCAGCACAGAUGCACUUGCAGUGGCGGGAGCAUGGCAGCAGUAAGCUGGGAGCUCCUGCAGACG